GAUAAAAAAAAGUUACAAAAGAAUCACCUUCUGCCUGAGAAUUUUCAGUUCUCAACGCUCCCAGGAAGAAGUUUCCUAGUCGACUGUAGGGCCGUAGAGCUGGUGGUUCCAAACCGAGCUGCAGCAGCAGGAAUGACCCUCGAAGGAGACAGAACCUCAACAAGCGAUGCGUUGUACGAGUCUGUGCCUAAACGGCUCUGCAGCCAUCCCUUCCCCCCGGAGAAUCCAUCCGUCACAAUCCAGCAGUUCUUGAAACCAAGGCUGGUGAG
rnacentral:lncRNA from 1 species